AAGCCUCAGUUUUUAGUAACUAUGAAUCAUCCGUCACCCAACUUUGACCCUGCUGCGUUUUGCCCUUUUUUUCCCCCUCCUCUUCCCACCUUCUACCUCCUUUAUGGCCUGAACCUUUUCAUGGAUGUGCCGCAUUUCUCAAUUUGACCUCUGAGAAGAAAGGUCGGGUAGAAAAUGAAGAAGGUAAGACAACUAAACAACUAUUACAGCUGUUUCCGUGGCGACCCUGAGCUCAGAGAUUCCUCCGGGGGUGUGAAAGUGACCAGGAGGAGCUCUCAGACGUCGUCUGGUGGGAGGAAGCCGGAGUACCCGGAGGGAACCCACGCAGUCACGGGGAGGACAUGCAAACUCCACACAGAAAGAUCCCGAGCCCGGGAUUGAACCCUGACUACUCAGGACCUUCGUAUUGUGAGGCAGACGCACUAACCCCUUUUCCACCGUGAAGCCACAAUCAAAAUGUAUUGUAGCAAAUUUA